AGUAACACGUGAGUAACCUGCCCCCUUCUUCGGGAUAACGUUCGGAAACGGAUGCUAAUACCGGGUAUUUACCUCAUGUCGCAUGGUGUGGGGUGGAAAGGUUUUUUCUGGUGGGGGAUGGGCUCGCGGCCUAUCAGCUUGUUGGUGGGGUGAUGGCCUACCAAGGCUUUGACGGGUAACCGGCCUGAGAGGGUGACCGGUCACAUUGGGACUGAGAUACGGCCCAGACUCCUACGGGAGGCAGCAGUGGGGAAUUUUGCACAAUGGGCGAAAGCCUGAUGCAGCGACGCCGCGUGAGGGAUGACGGCCUUCGGGUUGUAAACCUCUUUCGCUCAUGGUCAAGGCUAGUUUUUGUUCUAGUUGAGGGUAGUGGGUAAAGAAGCGCCGGCUAACUACGUGCCAGCAGCCGCGGUAAUACGUAGGGCGCGAGCGUUGUCCGGAAUUAUUGGGCGUAAAGGGCUUGUAGGCGGCUUGUCGCGUCUGCCGUGAAAACCCACAGCUUAACUGUGGGCUUGCGGUGGGUACGGGCUGGCUUGAGUGCGGUAGGGGAGACUGGAAUUUCUGGGGUAGCGGUGGAAUG
rnacentral:rRNA from 1 species